CGGAAUGAGCGCAGAGAAAUUAAACACAAAAUACGGCGUCGGUGGGCUGCAGUUCGGUGAACAGCCAGCUGUUAACGGUGCAGGAAAGUAUGGUUAUGGAGUGAACCCGUAUGGGCCUGCAGGG